UGGUUGGAGGUGGUCGAGCUGGACGAGGUGGAGGACGAGGAUUCGUGCUCGGUCCUCGACCUGAUGACUUUUGACCUUCCGGAUUAAAUUUCAAGUUUACAAGUUUGAUUAUUGAAAACGUCAUAUUUUGUGAUAUCAAACCAAUGUGCAUGCUGCAGAUAAAAUUUUGAAUCAGAAAAAAAACCGAACGACCAAGAGCAACAAAUUGCAAUGGACAUAAAUUACGUACGCCAUCUUUCCUGUCAAUUCAAGAUUCCAGCGACGAGGCGCUUCAAUUGCCACCUAAUAACUUUGCCAUUUUGCGACAAUUGAUGAUGGGUAAAUUUUUCUUGUACUGUCCAAAUGUGGUGAGCGGUGGUCGUUAAAGGUCGUUGGAGGUGGUUGGCGAUGGUUGAAGGUGGUCGGAGAUGGACGAGGAGAAGGUGGAUGAGGAAGAUGAGGAGAACAAGGUGGACUAGGAUUUGUGCACGGUGAGU